rnacentral:ncRNA from 2 species
CGCCCCGUCCUAGGGGAGUAGUCUCCCGCGAGCCACCCGCUCGCCCGGCGUGCGUCAACACACUUGGUCCGCAGACCAUGGCGCAUGCGACCGACCCUUCAAGGGUUCCGUAGGAAAAGUCGCCCAGGCAGCUUUUUACACGGAACGCGGUUUGACAAGACCUAUGACACACACAACCUGACCCGGGGCGGGCGGAUUGCGUGUGUCAUGGUGAUUAGUCG